GAUGAACGCUGGCGGCGUGCCUAAUACAUGCAAGUCGAGCGAACAGACGAGGAGCUUGCUCCUUUGACGUUAGCGGCGGACGGGUGAGUAACACGUAGGUAACCUACCUAUAAGACUGGGAUAACUUCGGGAAACCGGAGCUAAUACCGGAUAAUAUUUCGAACCGCAUGGUUCGAUAGUGAAAGAUGGCUUUGCUAUCACUUAUAGAUGGACCUGCGCCGUAUUAGCUAGUUGGUAAGGUAACGGCUUACCAAGGCAACGAUACGUAGCCGACCUGAGAGAGGGGUCGGCCGCACGGGAACUGCGACACGGUGGACACUCGGACGGCAGAACAAAGCAGGGAGAAUGCGGAAAGUGGCGGAAUACUGAACCAGGAAUGCCGGAGAAGAGAAAAAGGGAUAGUGACUGUAAACCUCUGUAAUGAAGCAAAAAAAAACGCGUAAGCAAACGAGGCCGCCCCGGCGGUACCUAAAGAGAAAGCCACCGCUAACUACGAG
rnacentral:rRNA from 1 species